GACGAACGCUGGCGGCGUGCUUAACACAUGCAAGUGGAGCGACGAACCGGGCUUCGGCCCGGGGCAAAGCCGCGAACGGGUGAGUAUCACGUGGGUAACCUGCCCCGAUGACCGGGACAACCCGAGGAAACUCGGGCUAAUACCGGAUGUGCUCUCAAUCCACCAGGGUUGAGAACAAAGGAGGCUUCGGCCUCCGCAUUGGGAUGGGCCCGCGGCCCAUUAGCUUGUUGGUGAGGUAAAGGCUCACCAGGGCGACGAUGGGUAGCUGGUCGGAGAGGACGAUCGGCCACACUGGGACUGAGACACGGCCCAGACGCCUACGGGAGGCAGCAGUGGGGAAUCUUGCGCAAUGCGCGAAAGCGUGACGCAGCAACGCCGCGUGAGGGAAGAAGGCCUUCGGGUUGUAAACCUCUUUCAGGAGGGACGAAGGUUCAGGCGCGAAUAGCGUCCUGGACUGACGGUACCUCCAGAAGAAGCCCCGGCUAACUACGUGCCAGCAGCCGCGGUAACAC
rnacentral:rRNA from 1 species